GCGGACGAGGGCGCUUUUCGUCCAUCCCUCCGUUCCUCCCCUUCCAGGAAAAAGUCCACUCCGGGAUUUCCACGCAGCCAUGAAAGGCUACAGUGGAGCAGUGGAUUCGUCAGCGGUGGAGGGUUUGUAGCAGCAGUCUCUUUACCUGCUCCCAGAGUCAUGCAAUGAAACUGUGCACCAACCAUAUAGCAUGCAGCACGGCACGUUUUCAUUUUUUCACAUGGGGAGAAAACACACAGUUUAGAGUUUAGACGAUGCAGAUCUAACUAGAGGCCGUGUGGCGAAAGAGUUACAGUAACACAAACUUUCUGUGCAUGCUGGAGCUGUAGCAAACAUAUGUGGCCCACAGCUUACACGUCACAUUGAAAGAAUUGGUAAUGCGAUCAGUUCAUUGGAUAGUUUAACACAAAAUAUUACUACCACACACUGCGACUUUCUUUGCAUGCAGAUUAUCUUUUAAUUAGCAGACAUCAUGGGACCUUUUUAUGCCCCGAGACUGUUCUCAUAUCAUGAAUAACGUUGCUGCUUUCUUUUCCAAUGCUCCUGUAACAUGAUUAAUAUGACUUGAAUAAAAUGAAUUGUCAUGUGUGAAA